ACCAAACCAAUGCAGACCAAACCAAUGCAGAACUCCUAUGUGCUGAUGGUGGUCUUACAUUUCCCUAAGUUUCUGCCGACUAAACUGUGCACACGUUCUCAGGACCUCCUGAAGCUGCGUCACAGGCACUAAUCAAAGAACACAACCAAGAGUUUGGCCUUUUCUUCAGCACUGGGAAUUGUGAUCCAAAGCUUUUCCUGAUGAGGCACAAAGUUGGAGAAACACAACGCAAACUAAACAACAAUGAAACAGAACAGAGUGAAUCUGCUGUAGCUCAAGAGAGGACGUAGCUGCCCCCACUCCGCAUCCCCGGGCUCGGGUUUGCCUUGCUGACCUCUGCUGCCACCUGGUGCUGCACAGAGAAACUGAGGAGAAACCACAUCAGUCUCCUUCAGCCUCAGCUUCACAUCUGUGGGUCAAGCAACCCUUUCAGAAGCUGUAUAAUGUGGGAAAGCUUUCCUCUCAGGAAAAUGCACACAUCCAACUUUGAGAAGAUGCCCUUGGGGGUGCUUCAAGGAUCCUAGAUAAUAACCCCCUUUCCCGAACAUCCAAGAACCUAAGUUUUUUUUUUUUUUUUGAGAAAGUCUCGCUCUCUCUCCCAUUCUGGAGUGCAGUGGCGUGAUCUUGGCUCACUGCAAGCUCCACCUCCCAGGUUCAAGCCAUUCUCCUGCCUCAGCCUCCCAAGUAGCUGGGGCUACAGGCACCUGCCACCACACCCGGCUAAUUUUUUUGUAUUUUUAGUAGAGACGGGGUUUCACCGUGUUAGCCAGAAUCGUCUUGAUCUCCUGACCUUGUGAUCCACCCGCCUCGGCCUCCCAAAGUGCUGGGAUUACAGGUGUGAGCCACCACGCCUGGUCCAAGAACCCAACUUUUAGAUCUAGAGUGAUGUCAGCAUGACAUUGAUUUCCUGAGGCCCAGGGGUGAAGGAGCUGAGGACAGCAGAGGGGUGAAGGAAGUCAGCUACAGACAGCAGCAGCUGAUGCACAGGCCUCCCAGUGCCUGAAGUCACCCGGAAUUGGGAAGUGCUCAGAAGCUUACAAAGCUGCCUCGAGACGGCACCGAAAGCGAAGGAAGCUCCUGCUCCUCCUAAAGCCGAAGCCAAAGCGAAGGCCUUAAAGGCCAAGAAGGCAGUGUUGAAAGGUGUCCGCAGCCACACGCAAAAAAGAAGAUCCGCAUGUCACUCACCUUCAGGCGGCCCAAGACACUGCGACUCCGGAGGCAGCCCAGAUAUCCUCGGAAGAGCACCCCCAGGAGAAACAAGCUUGGCCACUAUGCUAUCAUCAAGUUUCCGCUGACCACUGAGUCGGCCGUGAAGAAGAUAGAAGAAAACAACACGCUUGUGUUCACUGUGGAUGUUAAAGCCAACAAGCACCAGAUCAGACAGGCUGUGAAGAAGCUCUAUGACAGUGAUGUGGCCAAGGUCACCACCCUGAUUUGUCCUGAUAAAGAGAAGGCAUAUGUUCGACUUGCUCCUGAUUAUGAUGCUUUCGAUGUUGUAACAAAAUUGGGAUCACCUAAACUGAGUCCAGCUGGCUAACUCUAAAUAUAUGUGUA
ensembl:lncRNA novel transcript